AAAAAGGGAUGAUUGUGUGUGUUACAUGCAUCAGCCACCACCAUUGACUAGUAUCAUUAAGAUGGCUAAUUCCUACUUAUCCUUGCUUGUCUUGAUCCUUGUAGCUCUGCUCCUCACCCCUCAAGGGCUUGCUGAUGAAUCUGAUUCUUACUAUAAGCCACCAGUUUACAAGAAACCACCAGUGUACAAGCCCAAGCCCAAGCCACCCAUUCACAAGCCCAAGCCACCCGUUUACAAGCCCAAGCCACCCGUUUACAAGAAACCCCCUUAUGGUAAGUACCCACCAGUUCAAGACAACGAUCACUUCUAAACCAUGCAACAAGGCAUGUUAAUGUUAACUAUCUACUAAAAUAAAGAGGUUCAGUUAACCUACUACGUACGUUGCUCCUUUUAAUUCCUAAAUCGUAAUUUACAACUUUGUAGGGAUGAGACAUUCUUGGCUAGCUCUGCACUUCAAUCCUUUAUUUGUACAAUGCUAUGGCCAAGUCAAUACCAUGCAUCUUAUCUAUGUGUGUCAUUGAACGAAGUAGUUGCGUGAAAAUGAUGCUUGUACUAUGAAUAAAUAAUAAAAGAACUUUAUCAUUUCAAGAUUGUGCUGUUUAGUUUAUUUGCUGAACCACCGUUACUGACCAUAAAUAAUACACAUGCAGGUCUUGUUUAGGAUAAACUUAAUUAUCCGUAACUUUUGAGAAAGAAUAUUCAAAAUUAAAAUAAAUUAAACUUUUC
rnacentral:lncRNA from 1 species